AACGAACGCUGGCGGCAUGCCUAACACAUGCAAGUCGAACGAGACCUUCGGGUCUAGUGGCGCACGGGUGCGUAACGCGUGGGAAUCUGCCCUUCGGUUCGGAAUAACUCAGGGAAACUUGAGCUAAUACCGGAUAAUGACGUAAGUCCAAAGAUUUAUCGCCGAAGGAUGAGCCCGCGUAGGAUUAGCUUGUUGGUGGGGUAAUGGCCCACCAAGGCGACGAUCCUUAGCUGGUCUGAGAGGAUGAUCAGCCACACUGGGACUGAGACACGGCCCAGACUCCUACGGGAGGCAGCAGUGGGGAAUAUUGGACAAUGGGCGAAAGCCUGAUCCAGCAAUGCCGCGUGAGUGAUGAAGGCCCUAGGGUUGUAAAGCUCUUUCGCCAGGGACGAUAAUGACGGUACCUGGAUAAGAAGCCCCGGCUAACUUCGUG
rnacentral:rRNA from 1 species